rnacentral:rRNA from 1 species
UACGUAGGGUCCGAGCGUUGUCCGGAAUUACUGGGCGUAAAGAGCUCGUAGGUGGUUUGUCGCGUUGUCCGUGAAAACUCACAGCUCAACUGUGGGCGUGCGGGCGAUACGGGCAGACUGGAGUACUGCAGGGGAGACUGGAAUUCCUGGUGUAGCGGUGAAAUGCGCAGAUAUCAGGAGGAACACCGAUGGCGAAGGCAGGUCUCUGGGCAUUAACUGACGCUGAGGAGCGAAAGCAUGGGGAGCGAACAGG